AACCGAAAAUGCAUUCAUGAGAUAACCAGAAUUAAACAUAAGAGAAUACUCGACAUAGGACGACCCAAUAUGGUAUACAAACUUAUACAUGUGACAUACUGACCUAUAAGACCGAAAUGAUCAUUUGUACACUCAAGACAUAGGCCGACAAGGCCAUACAACCAUCCAUAUACAUGACAUAUGUCUACAAGACUCUAAGAGUACAUAAACGUCAUAAUGGCUGGGACAGGGGCCCGCCAUACCAAUCUAUACAUGUCCAAAGCAUAAUGACUAAAUAGGCAACUCCGGAGCAAGUGGAGUGCACCAACACCUUCUACUAAGCUACGCCUACUAGGAGGAAUGACAACCUGUCUAUCGGGACCUGCAGGCAUGAAACGCAGCGUGUCCAGGCAAAAGGGACGUCAGUACGAAUAAAGUAUCGAAUAUGUGAGGCAUGAAAAUCAGUAUAUAAAAGGCGUGAAAGAAACAUGGAGUAAAAGACUCAACCUGUAAGCCUGAAUAGCUCACUGAAUCAUGAAAGCUUUAUAGUGUCAUGUAUAUACGUAUAAGUGUCAUAUCAUGCAUAUGUAUAUGCAUACAUAACAUGCUCAAGCCUGUGAGUCCCAUCAUAUCAUAUCGGCCUUAGUGGGCAAAAUCAUCAACGUAUACUAGCUGAUCAAGUGGUGGUGCGUAUAUAACACCGUAACCUUUUCCCAUACCCUAUAUACAUAUAAUAUAUGCGUAUAUAACUCCAUAUGUUCAUGGGUCAAUGUACAUGUAUAAGUGAAUGCAAUGCAUAAUGAAGUAAGUCAAUAAGAUCUCUCGGAAUGUCAUAAGAUCAAUAUGCCUUCAGAUAAACUUUAGCAACUUACGUAUUUUAUGAGACCCAUGAACAGACGAUAUAAUAAUAGGACACAUGGGGAAUCAAGAACAUAGGCACCCCUAGUACUUUUAUGAAUAUGUCAUUUAUGAAAGUUGUGUGUUUGCUCGUUUUAUUUGUAUCAUAUCGAUCAUGUCAAAAUGAAAGAAGGGAUAGCCUUAACAUACCUUUAUAGUUUACUUAACCACACGACAUCGGUUCAGCCCGUUAGUACUUCAAUCU
rnacentral:lncRNA from 1 species